rnacentral:rRNA from 1 species
CCUACGGGCGGCUGCAGUGGGGAAUAUUGGACAAUGGGCGAAAGCCUGAUCCAGCCAUGCCGCGUGUGUGAAGAAGGCCUUCGGGUUGUAAAGCACUUUCAGUGGGGAAGAAAGCCUUGGGGCUAAUACCCUCGAGGAAGGACAUCACCCACAGAAGAAGCACCGGCUAACUCCGUGCCAGCAGCCGCGGUAAUACGGAGGGUGCGAGCGUUAAUCGGAAUUACUGGGCGUAAAGCGCGCGUAGGCGGUCUGAUAAGCCGGUUGUGAAAGCCCCGGGCUCAACCUGGGAACGGCAUCCGGAACUGUCAGGCUAGAGUGCAGGAGAGGAAGGUAGAAUUCCCGGUGUAGCGGUGAAAUGCGUAGAGAUCGGGAGGAAUACCAGUGGCGAAGGCGGUCUUCUGGACUGACACUGACGCUGAGGUGCGAAAGCGUGGGUAGCAAACAGGAUUAGAUACCCCGGUAGUC